AUUCCCCUAGUAACGGCGAGUGAAGAGGGAAGAGCCCAAGUUUGAAAGCUGGCGUUUGUAUUCAGGCGUCCGCAUUGUAAACUCGAGAAGUGUUAUCCGCGCCGGACCAGGUUCAAGUCCCUUGGAAUAGGGCAUCAUAGAGGGUGAAAGUCCCGUGCUUGAUCUGGAACCCCGGGGCUUUGUGAUGCGCUCUCAAAGAGUCGAGUUGUUUGGGAAUGCAGCUCAAAAUGGGUGGUAAAUGCCAUCUAAGGCUAAAUAUCGAGGAGAGACCGAUAGCGAACAAGUACCGUGAGGGAAAGAUGAAAAGAACUUUGGAAAGAGAGUUAAACAGUACGUGAAAUUGCCGGAAGGGAAGGGUAGGAAGUCAGACAUGCCUUUGCAGAUUCAGCCUUGUCUUUGGACUUGGUGCAUUUUUGUAAUGGCAGGCCAGCGUCGGUUUGUGUCGCCGGAUAUAGGUUUAGGGAAUGUGGCUUUAUCUUUGGGUAAAGUGUUAUAGCCCUUUACUGAGUACGGCGGUGUGGACCGAGGAACGCAGCGCACCCAUUAGGGCGGGCCUUCGGGCACCUUUGCGCUUAGGAUGCUGGCUUAAUGGCUUUCUGCCACCCGUCUUGAAACACGGACCAAGGAGUCUAACAUGCAUGCGAGUCUUUGGGUGGCAAACCCAUGGGCGAAAUGAAAGUGAAUUUUAAGGUGGGAUCCCUUGCGGGUGCACCAUCGGCCGACUUUGAACCUUUCAUGGGGACGAGUUUGAGCAAGAGCAUUUAUGUUGGGACCCGAAAGAUGGUGAACUAUGCCUGAAUAGGGCGAAGCCAGGGGAAACUCUGGUGGAGGCUCGUAGCGGUUCUGACGUGCAAAUCGAUCGUAAAAUUUGGGUAUAGGGGCGAAAGACUAAUCGAACCAUUAACAACUAGGUGGUUAAGAGGCAGUUCAAAGUACUGUCUAGUGGGGGUGGGGCCUGCAACACUAUCAAAUUGCGGGGACGUCCUUAAGCUUAAACUACCGCAGCUCG
rnacentral:rRNA from 1 species